UACGUAGGGUGCAAGCGUUAAUCGGAAUUACUGGGCGUAAAGCGUGCGCGGGCGGUUUUGUAAGUCUGUCGUGAAAGCCCCGGGCUUAACCUGGGAAUUGCGUUGGAGACUGCAAGGCUUGAAUCUGGCAGAGGGGGGUAGAAUCCCACGUGUAGCGGUGAAAUGCGUAGAGAUGUGGAGGAACACCGAUGGCGAAGGCAGCCCCCUGGGUCAAGAUUGACGCUCAUGCACGAAAGCGUAGGGAGCAAACAGG
rnacentral:rRNA from 1 species